GGCGUCGUUGCUCAGCUGGUAGAGCGCAUGCCGUGUUGAGGCAUACUGUCUGUCGCUGGUUCGAAUCCAGCCGAAGCCC
rnacentral:tRNA from 1 species